rnacentral:misc_RNA from 1 species
GGCGGCGUGUCCCCCCGGGGUUUGCGUAUGAAUUUUAAAAUCGUGCUCGGUCGGCCCCGUUAUCUCUGCAGGCGUAUCUGAUUUCUUGUAACCGUGCUAACCUGUACGGUCGGGCUUGCGGAUUUGGCCACUCCGGUAUCAGCGACGAUCAUCGCCGAGGUAAAUAUUAUUGUGCUGCAUAUCGGAUACGUGUGAAAAGGUGCCGGGCCGUACCAUCCGGAUUUCGGAGUCCACGUUUUUUGCCA